rnacentral:rRNA from 1 species
CAGUAGCCGCGGGAAAACCGAGGGUGCAAGCGUUAAUCGGAUUUACUGGGCGUAAAGCGUGCGUAGGCGGCUUCUUAAGUCGGAUGUGAAAUCCCUGAGCUUAACUUAGGAAUUGCAUUCGAUACUGGGAAGCUAGAGUAUGGGAGAGGAUGGUAGAAUUCCAGGUGUAGCGGUGAAAUGCGUAGAGAUCUGGAGGAAUACCGAUGGCGAAGGCAGCCAUCUGGCCUAAUACUGACGCUGAGGUACGAAAGCAUGGGGAGCAAACAGGAUUAGAGACCCCCGUAGUCCCUGUCUCUUAUAC